CGAGGAGGCGGAGCGCUUUCCCCGAGAGCGCAGUGAGUGGGACGCGGUGCCUGUCUCUUCUCCCUCCACAGAUGAGAGAAUUGAGACAAGGAAAUUAUAUGCCCUGCUCGAUAUAAAUACAACUGGCUAUAAACUUCAGGAAGGCA